CCAGGUGCAAAAAGAGAGACUGGAGGGAGGUGUAUGCCAGGACCCCCGGCCGGCCCUCUUAGCUUGCUGGAGGGCCUGCGUGCGGCCCACUGACCCGGCCUUCACCGUCUGCUGAUCUCUUGGCUGUGGAGCCACUGAUGCCCGCGUGUAAAGGGCACACACCUAGACAGAAAUUGCUCAUUGAAAUGAGUAAUGCUAGAAAAAUUCACUUGAACAUGGAGAACGGUAAUAAAUAUUUAACUCGAUCGGACAUGUAGAUGUCAAUGAUCAUUUCGUCUAUUAAAGGACAUUUAAUAUCAAAUAGAAAGUCAGAAAAUUUAAAUUUGGGAGCCUGACCUACAACGAAACAGCUUUGUAAUCUCAAGAAAUUAAUUUUCUCCCCCGGAGGCAGAAUCAUCCAGGGUGUCUGAAGCAAGGCUUGAGCAUGAGGCCAUGAGGGUGCUGCCCUGCAGCCAGGGGUCCGGCCGCUCGUCCAGGACUUGAUCUCCAGGCUCUUAGCUCACCAAGAUUUUUAAGCACUUUCAAGAAAGGGACUUGGUCUUAUUUAUAGACCAUGCAUCCAAGUGCCUCACAGAGAGAUCCUUGAGAAACACUGUUAAACUGAACUGAACUGAGAGGCCAUAAAAGCCCCCAGCUCAGCCAGAGCAGAACAGAGGAUGGAGAGGCCCCCAGGUGACCAGUUGCAGAGAGGAACUACCUUCUCUGCUGACAAGACAACCUGCUGGCAGAGAGGAGCUAUCCUCCCUGCUGAGAGCUUUGGAGACCUGCAGCGACGUCCAAACCACUUGUCUGUGCAGAGGAGCCGCCCUCUCCAGGGCUUUCUCUCUGCUGAGAGCUGAACACUCCACUAGAUGACCUGCAUACAGCGAGGAGCUACCCACUGUGGGUUUCCUCUGAGCUGUUGCAACACCCAGUAAAUCUCUUCAUAUUGUUCAUCUUCCACUUAUCUGCACACCUCACUCUUCCUGGAUCCAGGACAAUAACUCGGGCAAAGGCCCCACCGGCAUGGAGGUUUCCAGACAGAAAAGCAACACCCCAAAGAUCCCAUCACACCACCAGCUCCAGCUCCAUGGCGACGUCAGAAAGUUACCCUAUAUGGUCUAAAAGAGGGGAAGCAUGAAUAAUCCACCCCUUGUUUAGCAUAUCAUCAAGGAAUAACCAUAAAAAUGGGCAACCUAUGGAGUAGUCAUU